GGCAUUGUGGUGUAAUGGUUAGGUAACUGGACUUGUAAUCUAGAGGUUGUGGGUUUGAUUCUCAGGUGGGUCA